rnacentral:ncRNA from 16 species
GUCUAAGCGAACAGACAAAAAACAAAAAACGCCUCCUAAAUCGAUGAAUAAACUUGAAACGCUGCAUAUUCCUCACCUGUGAGUGCAGGCAGGCGGGGAAUAUCAGGUUCAAGGGC